GCUGCUCCAGUGGAAAGAAAAAUGGAAUGCAAAACUAAGGAAAAGCUCAAUCCCCAGCAAAAUUUGAUGGCUGGUGGUGAGGUUUGGGGCCGUGAGAAAAUGAGCAAGAGUGAGAGAAGGAAGGAUUGGGACCUUACCUUGGUUCCAAUGGCAUCUCCGAUCUUGAUUUUCGGUGGGCACGGUGAAGGCAUUCAGUGACU
rnacentral:lncRNA from 1 species